rnacentral:misc_RNA from 1 species
UCGCCUUUUGCUUUUGGUUGCUUGCCUGGCCUCUUGGCGUAAGGUGGGUGGCCUCUUGCCGGGUGGUCUUCGGGGAUGUCGACCGUAAAGGUGCAUGAGUGGUGUUUGGUUUGUUAUGGGUGGUUGGCUCUUUGCUUGUGCAACAACUGCCACCCGGCUUACCUUCUCAGAUCUUUGCUUUGGCUUCGACCGCCAAUGCAGAAUGCGGGUUUCGUGUGUUGCCUACCUACGUCAUGGUAUUGUCCCGAUCGAUUGAAGUCGCUUUCGUCUUGUGUCAUUCACAUGGCAUCAGAUGAACAUUGAAGCUGUCUCUUUGCACCACAUCGUUAACGCUUGCGUUGAUGUUGUGGCUCAUUGAGCAUCAGCUGGUAUCUUGGAUACGGAACCUGAUGUGGGCAUGGGGUCUAUGGAUCCCUAUUCUGCCCUCGUGUAGCGUUUGCACUUUUCCUCUUAAAAUGUUUGCCUAGCCCGAAUUGGCUCGUACCACCGGGUGGGCAUCGUUGAAGAGGAAUGUUGUGCUUCUCUUAGAAUGACUGCCUAGCCCGAAUUGGCUCGUACCACCGGGUGGGUAUGUCAAAGAGGAAUGCUACCUGGUUGAUCCUGCC